rnacentral:rRNA from 1 species
CCUACGGGUGGCAGCAGUGAGGAAUAUUGGUCAAUGGCCGGAAGGCUGAACCAGCCAUGCCGCGUGAAGGUCAGUGCCCUAUGGGCGUUAAACUUCUUUUGUGCGGGAGCAAUAAUGGUCACGUGUGGCCAGACGAGAGUACCGUACGAAUAAGCAUCGCCUAACUCCGGGCCACCAGCCGCGGUAAUGCGGGGGAUGCAAGCGUUAUCCGGAUUUAUUGGGUUUAAAGGGUGCGUAGGCUGUGAGGUAAGUCAUCGGGGAAAUGCCCCCGCUCAACGGGGUGAAGUGCCAUUGAUACUGCCUUGCUGGAAUGCGGAUGCCGUGGGAGGAAUGUGUGGUGUAGCGGUGAAAUGCAUAGAUAUCACACAGAACAUCGAUUGCGAAGGCAUCUCACGAAUCCGCGAUUGACGCUGAUGCACGAAAGCGUGGGUAUCAAACAGGAUUAGAUACCCUGGUAGUC